CCUACGGGCGGCAGCAGUGAGGAAUAUUGGUCAAUGGGCGCGAGCCUGAACCAGCCAAGUCGCGUGAAGGAUGACUGCCCUCAGGGUUGUAAACUUCUUUUGUCAAGGAAUAAAGUGAGGCACGUGUGCCCUUUUGUAUGUACUUUACGAAUAAGGAUCGGCUAACUCCGUGCCAGCAGCCGCGGUAAUACGGAGGAUUCGAUCGUUAUCCGGAUUUAUUGGGUUUAAAGGGAGCGGAGAUGGGUUGUUAAGUCAGUUGUGAAAGUUUGCGGCUCAACCGUAAAAUUGCAAUUGAUACUGGCAGUCUUGAGUUCAGUAGAGGUAGGCAGAAUUCGUGGUGUAGCGGUGAAAUGCGUAGAUAUCACGAAGAACUCCGAUUGCGAAGGCAGCUUACUAAACUGCCACUGACAUUGAUGCUCGAAAGUGUGGGUAUCAAACAGGAUUAGAUACCCCAGUAGUC
rnacentral:rRNA from 1 species